AGUCCCGUAGUGUAGUGGUCCAUCAUCCCAGGUUUUGGUCCUGGGGACCCUGGUUCAAAUCCGGGCGGGACUACCA
rnacentral:tRNA from 2 species